rnacentral:lncRNA from 1 species
CCUACUCAUCUGUUGCAGAAUCGAACUAAUGCGAUCAUUGUUUACAACCAAAUGUUGAGGGUAUCAAGGUUUGCUAUUAGAGUAAAAGCUUAGUCUGGAAACACCUCAUUCAUUUAGAUUCAUUGUUAGUAAUACUACUACUCCUCCACAUCCCCAUCAUAGGAUGGGAGCCAUUACAGUUGGGAGGGAUUUACAUACUCACAUUCAUAUAUCCACAAAUCUUCUAUUCUACUUCUACCGCUUAAUACUAACCACAAAGCUCAUAAAUUUUUCAAACAAAAACUAAAGACAACAACACACAUAAUACUCGUUGAACAAUAUGAAAAGGAAUAACUUUUGCCACAAUCAAUCACCUCAUUCGUUCAUUCAUUCGUCCAAUCACCAUCUUGUCAAUUCAAUGAAAAUUAUCUUGAUGAAAGCUUUUGGUGCAAAUCAUCAGCAAGAGCUUGCCUCAAGCUCUCCCCAAAGAAGUACAAGGACUUCUCACUGUCCAUCACCCUCGGCUGCGGUCCAUUCUCAUCCAGUUCCUUACACAGCUCUGGUUCCGGCUCUCUCGCAAUCUGGCACAGGUUAUGCAGCACGCAGCAGGCCACGAUAGUCUGCGGAGCGUGAUAAACCCCGACAUUCAAAUCCUGCAAGAUCCUCCACCUCCCUUUCAGCAGCCCAAUUGCCUCUACCAUUGCAGACCUCCCCCUUCAUAAGCAUUCCAUCGAACAGGUUCUGCGCAGCCGUCCCCAUUCCAUUCGGCGAAAACAGCGUCUAAAAAAACGGCAACAAAGGGAAACACCAGUCCCCAACAAAGUAAGGCCUCACCUUCUUCAUUUUCAUCUCCUUCUUCAUCUUCCCAACAAAGCCACCNNNNNNNNNNNNNNCAGACAUAGAAUUCCUCAAAAUCUUCGACCCUCUUCCCAACUCUUUGUAAAGUUCAAAAUUUUAGCGGAAGCUGAACGGAAUCCAGUCAUUAUGUCAUCGGUCCAACUAGACCACAAUAUAUCGG